GUAUUUAUUUAUCCAUCCUCCAAAAAAUGCAACUAGGCAUGUUCGUUGCAGAUAAUGGCUAGUCUGAGAUUUUUCUGCGCCACAAAUAUCUCUGUCUCAACAAAACACAAAGCAAAAGUGGAUAAGAAGUGUGUUGUUCAUCAGAAAGUUAAGAACCUCAUCAACACUUUGGAGCUUCCUUCCAUUUCAUCAUCAUCAUCAACUCCACUUGAGUCUCUCCAGAGAGGUAACUGGGUGAAACUCAUUUGUGGUGCAAGUUUUGAGGAUGUUGUUGAUAUCAGAAAUCUCAGUUUGGUUUACACUCUUGCUGGAGUUGACUGCAUUGACUGUGCUGCUGAUGCAUCUGUUGUGAGUGCUGUUAAUGAAGGAAUUGAAGCUGCAAGAGACAUCUUAUGCUGCCUUAGAAGGCCUUGGGUGAUGAUCAGUGUCAAUGAUGAUAAAGAUCUUCACUUUCGCAAAGCCGAAUUUGAUCCUGAGGACUGUCCAUCGGACUGUUCACGCCCUUGCGAAAAUGUUUGCCCUGCUAAUGCAAUCUCAUUCCAAGAGAAAUCUACUUCACAAAUUUCAUGUAACACCGAAGCACCAAGAGUACUAAAGGAUGGAGUCAUAACGGAGCGCUGCUAUGGCUGUGGUCGCUGUCUUCCAGUUUGCCCCUAUGAUAAAAUAAGAGAGGUAACAUAUGUAAGAGAUGCUGUUACAACUUCUGAUCUCAUCAAGAGAAAUGAUGUUGAUGCUAUUGAGAUCCAUACAAGUGCAAGGCAGAGUAGACUGUUUGAAGAACUAUGGCGCGCUUUAGCAGAUUCAGUAGAAAAUUUGAAGCUAGUAGCCGUUAGUUUACCUAAUGUUGGAGAUUCAACAAUAUCUUCUAUGAACAAAAUGUACUCUAUUAUGAAACCAAAUCUUAGAAACUUCAACUUAUGGCAGUUAGACGGCCGUCCGAUGAGUGGAGAUAUUGGGAGAGGAGCAACUAAGGAGUCAAUAGCCUUCGCUGUUCAGUUGGCUAAAGCAAAAGAUAGACCUCCUGGCUUUCUUCAACUUGCUGGUGGAACUAAUGCUCACACAAUUGAAGGAAUGAAAAAAGAAGGACUCUUUCGAACAACUAGUUUAAAAUACUUGGAUCAUGAAAAUUCAACAGUCAGUACAUCUAACUCAUCAUGUGCGUUAAUUAGCGGCAUAGCUUAUGGUGGCUACGCGCGAAAGAUUGUUGGUAGAGUAUUAAGAUCCAUGCAAUCCCAACAUGGUGGAGCUGCUUCAAUCGAGGAUCAUCCUGAGCAUCUCUUGUUGGCUCUAAGGGAAGCACUUGCGUUGGUUGGACCUGUUAAAUGUCUAUAAUCUAUGACAACUUCACUCUUCACAUCACUUGAUUGAAACUUUGAUGUUGGAAUUAUGAUGUGUAUGAAACUAAAUGAGUUCAAGCUUGUCAAAAGAUAAUAAUAUUCUGCAUUGUCAACUUUAAUUAGCAUGCACAUAUAUUCAAUUUGUAUGAUCUUCAAGUACUUAUUUGUUGGCAUGUGUAUCCACAAUCUACUUUAAUUGUUGUU